rnacentral:rRNA from 1 species
AGUGAACGCUGGCGGUAGGCCUAACACAUGCAAGUCGAACGGCAGCACAGUAAGAGCUUGCUCUUACGGGUGGCGAGUGGCGGACGGGUGAGGAAUACAUCGGAAUCUACUUUUUCGUGGGGGAUAACGUAGGGAAACUUACGCUAAUACCGCAUACGACCUACGGGUGAAAGCAGGGGAUCUUCGGACCUUGCGCGAUUGAAUGAGCCGAUGUCGGAUUAGCUAGUUGGCGGGGUAAAGGCCCACCAAGGCGACGAUCCGUAGCUGGUCUGAGAGGAUGAUCAGCCACACUGGAACUGAGACACGGUCCAGACUCCUACGGGAGGCACCAGUGGGGAAUAUUGGGCAACGGGCGCAAGCCUGAUCCAGCCAUACCGCGUGGGUGAAGAAGGCCUUCGGGUUGUAAAGCGCUGUUGUUGGGAAAGAAAAGCAGCAGGUUAAGACCCGGAUGUUCUGACGGUACCAAAAGAAGAAGCACCGGCUAACUUCGUG